rnacentral:rRNA from 1 species
CAAGUCGAACGGCAGCGCGGGAGCAAUCCUGGCGGCGAGUGGCGAACGGGUGAGUAAUAUAUCGGAACGUGCCCAGUAGUGGGGGAUAGCCCGGCGAAAGCCGGAUUAAUACCGCAUGAGACCUGAGGGUGAAAGCGGGGGAUCGCAAGACCUCGCGCUAUUGGAGCGGCCGAUAUCAGAUUAGCUAGUUGGUGGGGUAAAGGCCUACCAAGGCAACGAUCUGUAGUUGGUCUGAGAGGACGACCAGCCACACUGGGACUGAGACACGGCCCAGACUCCUACGGGAGGCAGCAGUGGGGAAUUUUGGACAAUGGGCGCAAGCCUGAUCCAGCAAUGCCGCGUGCAGGGAGAAGGCCUUCGGGUUGUAAACUGCUUUUGUCAGGGAAGAAGUCCUCUGGGCUAAUAACUCGGGGGGAUGACGGUACCUGAAGAAUAAGCACCGGCUAACUACGUGCCAGCAGCCGCGGU